rnacentral:rRNA from 1 species
ACGCUCGACACCUACUGGAGGCAGCAGUCGGGAAUAUUGCGCAAUGGAGGAAACUCUGACGCAGUGACGCCGCGUGCAGGAAGAAGGUUUUCGGAUUGUAAACUGCUUUAGACAGGGAAGAACAAAUGACAGUACCUGUAGAAUAAGCUCCGGCUAACUACGUGUCAGCAGCCGCGGUAAUCUGAGCGGGCUGGCAAGGC